AACGAACGCUGGCGGCAUGCCUAACACAUGCAAGUCGAACGAGACCUUCGGGUCUAGUGGCGCACGGGUGCGUAACGCGUGGGAAUCUGCCCUUGGGUUCGGAAUAACAGUUGGAAACGACUGCUAAUACCGGAUGAUGACGUAAGUCCAAAGAUUUAUCGCCCAGGGAUGAGCCCGCGUAGGAUUAGCUAGUUGGUGGGGUAAAGGCCUACCAAGGCGACGAUCCUUAGCUGGUCUGAGAGGAUGAUCAGCCACACUGGGACUGAGACACGGCCCAGACUCCUACGGGAGGCAGCAGUGGGGAAUAUUGGACUAUGGGCGAAAGCCUGAUCCAGCAAUGCCGCGUGAGUGAUGAAGGCCUUAGGGUUGUAAAGCUCUUUUACCCGGGAUGAUAAUGACAGUACCGGGAGAAUAAGCCCCGGCUAACUCCGUG
rnacentral:rRNA from 1 species